GCGCUGUAUCUGGGACAUGACUGGAUCUCCUUUAUCUCACUUUGGAGAGAGUAAAUGUUCUGAUUCUGGGUCACGCCUAUGAAAGGCAGCAUAUGAUAUGAAGACCAAGUUCUGGCGACCACACCAGCCAACGUCGUCAACUGGCCUCCCCCGUCAUCGAGUGGCUGGUGGAGGCCUGCCAUGCCAUUACCUGGACUCUGUAACCCUGCCGCUGGAUGCCUAGUGAAGUCAUUUGACACGGACAGUGUGUGGAGGCAAGGUCUCUAAAUCUCCAGCUGAGCUACGAUGACACAGAAGCUCAUCCCGACACAGUAGAUUCUUUUGUGUUUAUCGACUCUGCACAUGAGUGUGAAGACGACAAGUAAUGUCACUGUGUUCGGUUAUUACCUUCUCCUCCAAGAGGCAGCAAGAAGGAAGACUUAGCUCACCAGCCCGGGUCCAAACAACAAGAAAAAAUAUUUCAGGAGAGGAAGAUCCCAGACCUUGGAAAUAGCCAUUUUUGAUCCCCAGAAAGAAGAAAUCCUGAAUUAACAAAGAAGAGGCUUAGGGCUCAGGUCUCUGAAGUCACUUGCUCAGGGACCCUGGCGAUGGAGACCUGGGAGGGAGAUUAUAGAAAGACUCAAGGUUUCCGGAGUUUGGACUGCUUAUGUAAACUUGGUGAGACAGCUACUGACCCCAAGGUCACCGUGACACCCCCUUUCGCAAAACACUGCUCUCUAGGUACAACAUCUUUACUAUUUUGGGUAAUUUUUCUUUAUCUACCGGAAUCUCCAUGGAGGCCCUUUCUCUCUCAUUUCUCUCCUGUGUAAGUGAAAUA
rnacentral:lncRNA from 1 species